AUGUUCUCUCCAUCUCUACUGCUCCUGCUGGCAGCUGCUUCCUAUAUGCAUGGUGAGGAACUGACUCAGCCUGCUUCCAUGACAGUCCAGCCAGGCCAGAGUCUCUCCAUCCACUGCAAGGUUUCAUACUCAAUUACAAGCUAUUAUACAGAUCGGAUCCGACAACCUGCAAGAAAAACUCUCGAGUGGAUUGGACACAUCAGUGGUGGUGGGAGUCUCUAUUACAGUGAGAAACUGAAAACUAAGUUCAGCAUCUCCAGAGACACUGCUACUAACACAAUAACAAUUCGAGGACAGAAUCUGCAGACUGAAGACACAGCUGUGUAUUACUGCGCUUGUAAUGCACACAGUGACACAGAAUAG